ACCUACCUUAUAGAAGGGGAUAACAGGGAGAAGUUCCUGCUAAUACCGUAUAAGCUGAGCAAUUUUGGAAGUAGCUCAGGAAAGAUGGCCGCUGCUUGCAUGCUAUCACUAUAAGAAGGGCCUGCGGGUCAUUAGCUUGUUGGUGGGGUAAAGGCUUACCAAGGCGAUGAUGACUAACCGGUCUGAGAGGACGAUCGGCCACACUGGGACUGAGACACGGCCCAG
rnacentral:rRNA from 1 species